GUAAAAUAUGUUUGCACUGAAAUUAAUACUUUUCACUGCAGCGAACAGAAUAGUUGUCAGUAACGCUAAAGGUCUACUCGUGACUCUUAUAAUUCUUACAAUUGUCAGAUCAAUGUAGACCUGAUAGGGGUCUUUGGAUUUCUAAAAGUGAAAGUGAAAUUGUACUGGGAAAAGGAAGGCUAUUUUGCUUGGGUGGGUAGGCCCAGGAGUGUAACUACAUUAUUUUUCUACAACAUUGUUUUUACAUUUUACACGGUCCACUUUGACCUGCCAACCUCCCAGCCUGCCACACCCUACCCUGCCUCACCAACCUCCCAGCAGUCUGACCAUGUUCAGCCGAACAUCUCCCGAGGACAGGAUCCAGUUCAACCCAGGAUACCUCCCUAAUCUCCAGUUCUGAUAGACUCUAAUAGGAAGUAUCUGGAAGAUAGGAGAAUUUCCCCAGAUACCAGAUGGCUAAAUGCUGGUGUACCACAACUGACAACUAGUGCACUACAACUGCUCUAUCAAGUCAAGCUGGAAAAUCCUGACAACCUUGUCAUACAUACUGGGACAAAUGACCUGCGCACAAAAGGUGAAAGAGUGGCUGAGGAAGUGAGAAAGAUCUCCCCCAGCAAAUUAUCCAAAAUGUCUACCAAGAAAUCACCAUGGAGCUGCUCCUCACUACCAAAUGUCAGCGUCUCUCACCACCACACCCUGACAUGUGAACACUUGUAUGGCCAUGUGCAACUGGACCAUGAGGGAGUCAGAAUCUUUGCCAAGGACCUGAAGAACGCCACGUUAGGCUGAGUUCCACAAUCAAACCAGGUCAGCCACCAAGCCCCCCCCCCCAAUCUCCAAGGAGAGAGAGGAGGCCAAUCUCAUCUCAGCUGAUCCAGACACAGACAUCUCCAGCCCCUACCAAAACAAAUCACAUUUUAUUUGUCACAUGUGCCGAAAACAACAGGUGUAGACCUUGAAGUGAAAUGCUGACUUACAAGCCCUUAAUCAACAAUUCAGUUUUAAGAAACAUAAAUGUUAAAAAGUAUUUACUUGAAUAAAAACCAUGAGCUGGCG
ensembl:lncRNA